CUUCCAUAUAAAAAAACAAAGAAAAAAAACAUGGUGCCUUUUCUUUAGCCCCGAGCAGCCGCGCCGCCAGAGGUCGCGAACCUGCCGCCACAUCGACUCCUCCGCGUCCGGUGCGCCGCCAGAGCAUCCGUCGCGUGCCGGCGAGCUCACCAGCGAGCAGCAACCGUCCUCCGGCCUUGCCUUUUUGCCGUCCUUCCCUGCUCCUCUCUCACCUCUCUCUGCCUCACCUCCACAGGGACAUCGAGACGCCGCCGGCGCGCGGAACAAAGCCGCCCCAACUGGAUCCACGCCCUCCGCCAUCGCCCGCUCUCCUGCCGUAUGUCCUCACCUUGAAUCGGUCGCGCUGAUAGCCGUCGAUGCCAGAUCCUAGCUUGGCUGCCCGCUGAACGACCAGCACCGUAUGCCUUGCAACCACGCGCCUCUCACUGUCGAGGGCGGCAGGAACGAUGGAGUCGUGCAUGUGUCGGCUCCUAUGUGGUGCGUGCAGAGCCACUGGCUUGCGGAAUGGCUGCAGGCCUGGAGCGCGCCCUGCCUCGAGCAGCACGCAUGCAUGGAUGGCGGCCGAGACAUCAGAGGAGCUUCAGCAGAGAAACGGGGCUGCCGAGCCAAAUUUGCUGAACCAGGCUGCCAAGUUUGAGUGCUCGCCGUCGAUGCCAGAUCCUAGCUUGGCCGCCCGCUGAAAGAUCCAGCACCGUAUGCCUUGCAACCACGCGCCUCUCACCGUCGAGGGCGGCAGGAACGAUGGAGUCGUGCAUGUGUCGGCUCCUAUGUGGUGCGUGCAGAGCCACCGGCUUGCGAAACGGCUGCAGGCCUGGAGCGCGCCCUGCCUCGAGCAGCACGCAUGCAUGGAUGGCGGCCGAGACAUCAGAGGAGCUUCAGCAGAGACACGAGGCUGCCGAGCCAAAUUUGCUGAACCAGGCUGCCAAGUUUGAGGUAAAAAAAACUGAGAGGGAAGUAUCUAUCCUGAAUUUUUUGCACUACAUAAAUUUACCCAUAGAAUAUAUCUCUAAUAGUACCCUGUCCAAAAUGUUAGUGCUAUUUCUGCAAUUUUGCAAGCCAAAUUUGUGCCAAGUGCAGUCCAUAAUAUAUCUCUAAUAGUAUCUCUCCAUUGCUAUUCCACAGAUCUUCCAUCAAUUUCUAUUACAACAGAAAAAUGGUCCCUGUCACAUAUAUGGUAUGCACUAGGCAAUCAUGAUUCAUGGGCAGCUUAUAUAUACAAUGGUUGAUAACAACUACUUCAGGAUAUCCAUUCUACUAUUUUUUUACAUACUCAACAAAUUUGUGACGUCUGAUCUGGUAGAGAAAACAGUCCGAGAUAUUCUGUUCUUACCUACACAUAAUUCCGUCAGGGUAUCCAUUCUACUAUUUUUUACAUACUCAACAAAUUUGUGACGUCUGAUCUGGUAGAGAAAACAAUCCAAGAUAUUCUGUUCUUACCUACACAUAAUUCCGUAUUGAUGACUUAGCAUUCAACAUGAUUCAGUUUCUAGCCAGUAUACAUUAGUAUUAUUAUGAGCUACCUAGAAAGUUUUUGGGCUUUCAGUUUCAGUUAUGGUCAUGGACUGCACAGGAUUCACAGAAUAUAAAACUGCAUGAAGCAUUAAUUUUACAUGUGUGAAGCUUUUUACAAUUAAUUCUACUAUGGAAAAAUCAUUCAUCAGCUAGCUGAAUGAACAUACACUGUAUGCCAAUGCGAAUAAGCACACUAAAUAUUACGAUUCAUAGUACUUCCAAGCUAUUUUUACAAAGGCAUUUCACUAGACUAUGUUCUGAUUACCUUUUUCUUAAGCUUCAGAAGGUUAUUUUGGAUUUAAAUGACAAUUUGCAACUUUUCACCUUUUUAAUAGUACUGAGGACCAAAUUUAGAAAAUUCAACGGGUGGUGAGUUCAAUCAGGUGAAAAAUUGUAGGUCGAACAUGAAAGGAUGCACAUUCGUUUUUGAAGAUUGAAAAUAACGUUUCAUGGAGCAAACUUGAGAUAUUCUGCUAAUGAUAGGAAGCGUGGUUGAAAACUGCUCUGGCUGGAGUUGUAUGCUUGUGACGGAAGACUAGAGACUGGUGUCACGGUGACUUGCAGCCACUCCUGAUGGUCCUACCACCCAGCUUUUGCUCUCUCGAAUUUUCCUAUUUUCAUGUUAACACUGCUAUUGGGGCCAAUCUCUGUUGUUUACUGCUCUGAUCAAGCUAUUGCUAGGAUUCCAUGUUUCCUACAUUGUAUUAUACUGAUCAUUAGUAAUUCAGCCUACAUUGUAUUAUACUGGCCAUUAGUUGAA